CAGUAAUCAUAUGCUUGUCUCAAAGAUUAAGCCAUGCAUGUCUAAGUACAAACUAUAAUAUAGUGAAACCGCGAAAGGCUCAGUAAUACAGUCAUGGUUCAAUAGAUUGUAAAAAAUUUACUUGGAUAACUGUGGUAAUUCUAGAGCUAAUACAUGCAAUUAAGUUCCGACCAGAAAUGGAAGGUUCGCUUUUAUUAGAUCAAAACCAAUCGAUGUUAUAAAAUGAAUUAAAAUAAAAUUCAUAAAAACAUCGUUUAUUUUGGUGACUCUGGAUAACUUCAGCUGAUCGCAUGGUCUUUGUACCGGCGACGUAUCUUUCAAGUGUCUGCCUUAUCAACUAUUGAUGGUAGGUUAUAUGCCUACCAUGGUUGUAACGGGUAACGGGGAAUCAGGGUUCGAUUCCGGAGAGGGAGCCUGAGAAACGGCUACCACAUCUAAGGAAGGCAGCAGGCACGCAAAUUACCCAUUCCCAGCACGGGGAGGUAGUGACGAAAAAUAACGAUGCGAGACUCAACCGAGGCCUCGUAAUCGGAAUGAGAAUACUGUAAAAAGGUAUUCAAUGAUCUAUUGGAGGGCAAGUCUGGUGCCAGCAGCCGCGGUAAUUCCAGCUCCAAUAGCAUAUAUUAAAAUUGCUGCGGUUAAAACGUUCGUAGUCGAACUUGUGUCUCACACUAUUGGUUCACCGUACGCGGUGAUUACUAAUAUGAUGUGAGAUGUCCUGUCGGCUGUGAGGUAAUAUAAAAUGAAAAUCAAUAUGAUAUAUAAUCAAAAAUAACUUACAAUUAAUGUUUAUAUACAUAUGAAAAGUAAUAUAUAUUCGUAAGUGUUUUUGUAGCUAUUAUUUCAAUUAAUUUUGUGAAUAGUAGUGAAAAAAACAGCCUCACAACAAAAUCCUAUUUCGGUGCUCUUAAAUGAGUGUCGAUGUAGGCCGACAUGUUUACUUUGAACAAAUUAGAGUGCUCAAAGCAGGCAGCAUGUUAAAAAUGCUUGCAUAAUUUUGCAUGGAAUAAUAAAAUAGGACCUCGGUUCUAUUUUGUUGGUUAUCGGAAUUAUCCGAGGUAAUGAUUAAUACAGACAGUUGGGGGCAUUUGUAUUACAGCGUUAGAGGUGAAAUUCUUGGAUCGUUGUAAGACAAACAAUUGCGAAAGCAUUUGCCAAAAAUGUUUUGAUUGAUCAAGAACGAAAGUUAGAGGUUCGAAGGCGAUUAGAUACCGCCCUAGUUCUAACCAUAAACGAUGCCAACCAGCGAUACGCUAAAGUUACUUGUCGACUUAGUGUGUGGCUUCCUGGGAAACCAAAGUAUGGUUCCGGGGGAAGUAUGGUUGCAAAUCUGAAACUUAAAGGAAUUGACGGAAGGGCACCACAAGGAGUGGAGCCUGCGGCUUAAUUUGACUCAACACGGGAAACCUCACCAGGCCCAGACACUGUAAGGAUGGACAGACUAAAUGGCUCUUUCUUGAUUCAGUGGGUGGUGGUGCAUGGCCGUUCUUAGUUGGUGGAGUGAUUUGUCUGGUUUAUUCCGAUAACGAACGAGACUCUAACCUACUAAAUAGACGUACAAACCGACAUCAAAAAACCUAUCUGCUGAUUAUUUACUUAUGUUGAUUCUUUACCAUAAACUUCUAUGAUUGUUAUUUAACAUGAAUAGAUGGAUAAGUGGAAUAUUCUCAAAAAAGAAUAUUGGAUCAACAUUAAAAGUGGUUUUCAGUUAGAUAAAAGUUUUACUGUCGGCGUACAAACAAAAUUCUUCUUAGAGGAAUAAACGUCUUCGAGACGUAUGAGAAAGAGCAAUAACAGGUCUGUGAUGCCCUUAGAUGUCCUGGGCCGCACGCGCGCUACAGUGGAGCAAUCAAUGUGUUCUCGGGCAGUAAUGUCUGAGUAAUCACAUAAAUUGGUUCAUGUUUGGGAUUGGAGAAUGAAAUACUUCUUCAUGAACGAGGAAUUCCUAGUAAGCGUAAGUCAACAGCUUACGCUGAUUAAGUCCCUGCCCUUUGUACACACCGCCCGUCGCUACUACCGAUUGGAUGGUUUAGUGAGGUCUUUGGAUCAAUUCUCGGCAAAGUUAUAAACACAUUGCUGAUGUAAUUGAGAAGAUGACCAAAUUUGAUCAUCUAGAGGAAGUAAAAGUCGUAACAAGGUUUCCG
rnacentral:rRNA from 1 species